rnacentral:rRNA from 1 species
GACAGAGGAUGCAAGCGUUAUCCGGAAUGAUUGGGCGUAAAGCGUCUGUAGGUGGCUUUUUAAGUCUGCCGUCAAAUCCCAGGGCUUAACCCUGGACAGGCGGUGGAAACUACCAAGCUGGAGUACGGUAGGGGCAGAGGGAAUUUCCGGUGGAGCGGUGAAAUGCGUUGAUAUCGGAAGGAACGCCGGUGGCGAAGGCGGGUCUCUGGGCAGUAACUGACGCUGAGGAGCGAAAGCGUGGGGAGCGAACAGG